UGCCACAGCCAUAUCACCCUGCAGCCCAAGACUGGUUGCCCCCUGAAGCUAAGCAGGGUUGAGCCUGGUCAGUACCUGGAUGGGAGACCUCCUGGGAAAACUAGGUUGCUGUUGGAA
rnacentral:rRNA from 1 species